rnacentral:rRNA from 1 species
ACUCCUACGGGAGGCAGCAGUGGGGAAUAUUGCACAAUGGGCGCAAGCCUGAUGCAGCCAUGCCGCGUGUAUGAAGAAGGCCUUCGGGUUGUAAAGUACUUUCAGCGGGGAGGAAGGCAAUACGGUUAAUAACCGUGUUGAUUGACGUUACCCGCAGAAGAAGCACCGGCUAACUCCGUGCCAGCAGCCGCGGUAAUACGGAGGGUGCAAGCGUUAAUCGGAAUUACUGGGCGUAAAGCGCACGCAGGCGGUCUGUCAAGUCGGAUGUGAAAUCCCCGGGCUCAACCUGGGAACUGCAUUCGAAACUGGCAGGCUUGAGUCUUGUAGAGGGGGGUAGAAUUCCAGGUGUAGCGGUGAAAUGCGUAGAGAUCUGGAGGAAUACCGGUGGCGAAGGCGGCCCCCUGGACAAAGACUGACGCUCAGGUGCGAAAGCGUGGGGAGCAAACAGGAUUAGAAACCCCAGUAGUCCCA